UACCAGCACCCCGAGUGGUCGGGACGUUAUUGGGCCUAAAGCAUCCGUAGCCGGUUCUACAAGUCUUCCGUUAAAUCCAGCUGCUUAACAGAUGGGCUGCGGAAGAUACUAUGGAGCUAGGAGGCGGGAGAGGCAAGCGGUACUCGAUGGGUAGGGGUAAAAUCCGUUGAUCCAUUGAAGACCACCAGUGGCGAAGGCGGCUUGCCAGAACGCGCUCGACGGUGAGGGAUGAAAGCUGGGGGAGCAAACAGG
rnacentral:rRNA from 1 species